AUCUAGACGACGAGUCCCAAAUAGGACGAAACGCGCCUCUGGAU
rfam:Schistosoma haematobium scaffold733_3, whole genome shotgun sequence.